AAGUAAGAAGCGAUAAUAUUGCUUUUAGUUUCGACCUAAAUUUAGGUACCUUUUACCCUUACUUU
rnacentral:tRNA from 1 species